rnacentral:rRNA from 1 species
GACGAACGCUGGCGGUGUGCUUAACACAUGCAAGUGGUGCGACGAACCAGAGCUUGCUCUGGGGCAAAGCCGCGAACGGGUGAGUAACACGUGGGUAAUCUACCCCGAUGACCGGGACAACCCGAGGAAACUCGGGCUAAUACCGGAUGUGGUGCGGAGACAUAAGUCUCUUCACUAAAGGUAGCUUCGGCUUCCGCAUUGGGAGGGGCCCGCGGCCCAUUAGCUUGUUGGUGGGGUCAAGGCCUACCAAGGCAACGAUGGGUAGCUGGUCUGAGAGGACGAUCAGCCACACUGGGACUGAGACACGGCCCAGACUCCUACGGGAGGCAGCAGUGGGGAAUCUAGCGCAAUGCGCGAAAGCGUGACGCAGCAACACCGCGUGAGGGAAGAAGGCCUUAGGGUUGUAAACCUCUUUCAGAUGGGACGAAGGUUCUCCGGUGAAUAGCCGAGAGGAUUGACGGUACCGUCAGAAGAAGCUCCGGCUAACUACGUG